rnacentral:lncRNA from 10 species
AAACAGGCACGUGUGUUGGGCAGAUACUAAAAAGUGGUCAUCAUUCUCCUCUUCAGUUAUAAGCUAAUUCUCUUUUCAGCUUUAUACUGAAAUAUCUUCCCCUUCAUCACAUACAGAUUAAAUUUCUACAUUUUUACAGAAUUCUUCAGAUACUUCCUUUUAGCCACAAAUGUAAGGAGUACUAAACCCGAGUGGAACUAUGUUAUGCCCACUAGCAAAAGCAUGCAGCUUACUCAGUUUUGGUCAAAUGGCAAAGACUCUGGAAAUCAGACACUUGAUUCUCACAGUCAGGUGGAGUCCAACCGAUCCAGUUCCCUACAUAUAAAAUGAUUCCCUAAACAGUUCUUCAAUUCAACAUCUUAUGAAGACAGCAAAAAGAUUUGAAAUGGCACAACCCACAUUCUAAGCGUUAAAUUUUAACCAGAAGAUUGGGAUAAAAGGCAACAUAGUACCAUGCAAGCAUAGCCACUUUGACAACGUUUCUGAGCCAGGGGUGACCAUGACCUGCUGCGAAGGAUGGACAUCCUGCAAUGGAUUCAGCC